rnacentral:rRNA from 1 species
GUCCACGCCGUAAACGAUGAGUGCUAGGUGUUAGGGGCCCACCCCUUAGUGCCGAAGCUAACGCAUUAAGCACUCCGCCUGGGGAGUACGGUCGCAAGACUGAAACUCAAAGGAAUUGACGGGGCCCGCACAAGCAGUGGAGCAUGUGGUUUAAUUCGAAGCAACGCGAAGAACCUUACCAAGACUUGACAUCCCGCUGACCGCUCUAGAGAUAGAGCUUCCCUUCGGGGCAACGGUGACAGGUGGUGCAUGGUUGUCGU